GUGGGGAAUAUUGGACAAUGGGCGAAAGCCUGAUCCAGCCAUGCCGCGUGUGUGAAGAAGGUCUUCGGAUUGUAAAGCACUUUAAGUUGGGAGGAAGGGCAGUAAGUUAAUACCUUGCUGUUUUGACGUUACCGACAGAAUAAGCACCGGCUAACUUCGUGCCAGCAGCCGCGGUAAUACGAAGGGUGCAAGCGUUAAUCGGAAUUACUGGGCGUAAAGCGCGCGGAGGUGGUUCAGCAAGUUGAAGGUGAAAUCCCCGGGCUCAACCUGGGAACUGCCUCCAAAACUACUGAGCUAGAGUACGGUAGAGGGUAGUGGAAUUUCCUGUGUAGCGGUGAAAUGCGUAGAUAUAGGAAGGAACACCAGUGGCGAAGGCGACUACCUGGACUGAUACUGACACUGAGGUGCGAAAGCGUGGGGAGCAAACAGGAUUAGAUACCCCAGUAGUCC
rnacentral:rRNA from 1 species